rnacentral:rRNA from 1 species
CGUUAACUACACUAGCAAGUCGAGGGGCGGAUCGGGACGGGAAGGACGUUGCUUUCCUUCGUCCGGCCGGACCGGCGCACGGGUCGAGUAACACGUAUGCAACCUGCCUCCUUCAGGGGGACGAACCUUCCGAAACGGGAAGGGCGUAAUACCCGCCGUAUAUCGGUUUCGGGUCGAUCCGAGAUCGAGGAAAGAUUCAUCGGAAGAGGAUGGGCAUGCGGCGCAUUAGCUUGACGGCGGGGUAACGGCCCACCGUGGCGACGAUGCGUAGGGGUUCUGAGAGGAAGGUCCCCCACACUGGUACUGAGACACGGACCAGACUCCUACGGGAGGCAGCAGUGAGGAAUAUUGGUCAAUGGGAGAGAUCCUGAACCAGCCAAGCCGCGUGAGGGAAGACGGCCCUAUGGGUUGUAAACCUCUUUUGUCGGAGAACAAAACCUGGGACGUGUCCCGGACUGCGUGUAUCCGAAGAAAGGGCAUCGGCUAACUCCGUG